UUAACAAUUUUAUUACACUUAAUAAUUUUUAAAAACAUUUUUAGUUAUAAUUGCUAAAAAGCAAAUUUAUUCAAAUAAAAAGUUAUAAAUUAUUUAUAUAUAACAACAGGAUAAAUGGAUUUAUUAAGUGGUAUUGUAUUAUAGAAAUGAGUUUUCUUAAAAAAGAAAUUUACCUGCAUUGUAUUAUAAAAUAAGAUUAGUAUUAUGAAACAUAUUAUGUAAAAUAGAUUUUAAAUAAUGCUUUUUAUAUCAUUUGUAACACUGAUGAUAAAUAAUAAUCAUUCUUUAGAACUUGUGAUAAGUUCUAAGUUGAUCAGAGUUGUCAUUUGAUGUAUAAGUUCAUUCAAAAAGUUUUUACAUCAGCUGAGAAGGUUGGUAUCUUAUAAAAGAUCAACUUGUUAGUUGGGAUUUGUUAUCCUAGAUUACAUAAUGGCAACAACCAUUCAUUGGUAUUGUUAGCAUGAAGGUUGGAAAGAGGGAUUUAAACAUAUUAUCCAAAGUAUUCUUCUUGAAUUGAUUCAUUAAAUUGUUUUUUUAAUAUUUUAUCUAGUGCUAUAAGUAGUAAAGCAAUAAGUUGGGAUGAUCAUAUUACAAUAGCUGAAUUAUGAAGAAAUAAUGGCUAUUUCAUCAAAUAAAGGCUAUUUCAGUAAUAAUAUAUACCACUUACAAUAUAUAUACACUAUCACCUUAUAUAUUAAAAUAGAGAUUUUUUAAUGAAAGUUUUGAGAAUAAUUUAUCAUCUAUAACUGAAUAUCUUCACUUAGUAAAGUUUUUUCAAUAAUCACUGGGUAGAAAAAGUGGCAAACUGCUGUUCUAGGAGAGCUAAGUUCAAAUUCAGAUCAGGUAACUCAAGAAUUUUUCAUGGACAGUCUGUUCAACAUGUUGGAUUCUGUCCAUCAUUAAAUGGUUGCUCCAUUGUAGGACUAGCCAAACUCAUGGUGGGUAUAAUUAAAAAGGUUCUCUAGUGCCCACAAGAAAGACAACAGAAAAGAUAAUCAAAGAUAUUGACAUAAAAUGCAGCUAUAGAGAAAACUAAUAAAUCAACUAUAUCUUAGCAAAAUCAUUAAAAGAAAUUCUGCAUUAUUCGGCUGCAAUUUGAAAAAAUGUAGACCUAUAAGUUCCCACUGUCAUCUGUCCAUCUGUGAAUCCUUAAUCUUGAGAAUGGAGUUAGGUAGAUGAAAUCUGAGACCAGAUAUGGAAAGCUUAUGAGCAGGAGGCCCUUAUUAACUAUGUACAAACUUCUGGUAAAAACAAAAAGUCAUGUUAUAUCCAUUCAAAAAUUUUCCCCUGAAAAGUGUUACUUAGAUAACCAGCAUGACUCUAUUGCUGACAGGAAAAGUAUGAUGUAUAGGGGCAAUUACUACUAAUUUGAUGUGGAGAGCAUAUAUUUUAAAUGAAAUAAAUUAAAAAUAUGAUUAAUUUAUAUGCCUCUAUGUCCUUAUUUUCUAUUUGUUAUAUAUUGUCUACGAGGACUUAGCCUAUUAUUAGGACAUAUUAUACUGGUGUUUUGGCUUUAACAAUCAAGGAAAAAAUCUUAUUCAGGGAAAUAAUCUUAGACAUAACUACAGGGAGUAAUUUCUGUCCUAUUUUACACAUUCUUUUAUAUAAUAAAUUAUAUAUUAAUAAGGUACAGUAUGUACAAUACACAAAAUUGGCGAAACGUGAAAAACUAGCAAAAAUUAUGGCUAAUUUAGUAUUAUUAUAGGCAGUUGUUGACUUUGGGGACAACUUGCUCUUUCAUACAAGAUACUUUCAUACUCCUAAAUCUCUUUCCAUACACAAAAUAUUUACAUUGUCGUAAAUCUUAAGCUGUAAGUUUUCAUUUCAUUAACAUCAAAAUCAUUUCUAGAAAUGAAUUUAAAUUAUUAUUAAAAUUUUCUAUUAUGUGUUCUCUGUUUAAUCUAUGAUUUUCACAUUUUAAUUAAUGUUUUGUACAUCAUAAUGUAUUCACUAUAAACGAGCAACACUUUUUAUCUUUUAAUAUAUUCAGAAUUAUGAAUUAAUAUUUAUCUAUACUUCUAAACAGAGGGGAUAAAACAAAAUUAAUAAAUAAGCAGCUACAUGAUGGUCUCUUAAUUGUACUUAAACAAUACAGAUAACAAGGAUUUAAUGAAAAAGUUAUAAAAUUUAUAUAACAUUGUUUCAACAUAUUUUUAUUUAGAAAAAUGUUUUUAAGUUUUUUAGAAUGUAAUAAAAAGUAGUUUUUCAAAUCUGUUUUCUUCAAAUUGAGUAAUUGAAGAUUUGAGCAUUGUCCUAUUAGCAGGAAAACUAAAAAACA